rnacentral:lncRNA from 1 species
UUAUAUUCAAAUUAUCAAACAAUAAUUGCCCUUUUUUAUCAGCCUAUUAGUAUCCAUAGGGAUUCAUAGGGGUUCCCGCUACACGUGAACCAUUCCCUUUAACAAACUUAAUUCCAGGGUCGUCCCCAUACCCCGUCCGGUAUGAGCACCAAAAUAAUAAACCUCAAUACCCCGUCCGGUAUGAAGGUGAAGCGGGUUGUCCCCAUACCCCGUCUGGUAUGAGCGCCAAAACGAUAAAGUCUCCAUACCCCGUCCUGUAUGAGACAACGUUCCCGAUAGGGUUCCUUAUGGACCCGGUCCGUCCACCAUCCCCUAGGAUAUCUAAUGAGGCUGUCAUCUUAUCCAUUUAUCAAUUCACAC